GACGUAGGGCGCGAGCGUUGUCCGGAUUUAUUGGGCGUAAAGAGCUCGUAGGCGGCUUGUCGCGUCGACCGUGAAAACUUGGGGCUCAACCCCAAGCCUGCGGUCGAUACGGGCAGGCUCGAGUUCGGUAGGGGAGACUGGAAUUCCUGGUGUAGCGGUGAAAUGCGCAGAUAUCAGGAGGAACACCGGUGGCGAAGGCGGGUCUCUGGAACGGUACUGACGCUGAGACGCGAAAGCGUGGGGAGCGAACAGG
rnacentral:rRNA from 1 species